rnacentral:rRNA from 1 species
AUACGGAGGGUGCAAGCGUUAAUGGGAAUUACUGGGCGUAAAGCGCGCGUAGGCGGCUGAUUAAGUCGGAUGUGAAAUCCCUGGGCUCAACCUAGGAACUGCAUCCGAUACUGGUCAGCUAGAGUUUUGGAGAGGUAAGUGGAAUUUCCGGUGUAGCGGUGAAAUGCAUAGAGAUCGGAAGGAACACCAGUGGCGAAGGCGACUUACUGGCCAAAAACUGACGCUGAGGUGCGAAAGCGUGGGUAGCGAACAGGAUUAGAAACCCUAGUAGUCC